AUUGAACGCUGGCGGCAUGCCUAACACAUGCAAGUCGAGCGAGCGGCGGACGGGUGAGUAAUGUAUUGGGACUGCCUGAUAGAGGGGGAUAACUACUGGAAACGGUGGCUAAUACCGCAUACUAUCCGUUGACUCUUAUGGGAUUAGCUAGUAGCGGGGGUAAAGGCUCACCUAGGCGACGAUCUCUAGCUGGUCUGAGAGGCUGAUCGGCCACACUGGGACUGAGACACGGCCCAGACUCCUACGGAGGCAGCAGUGGGGAAUAUUGCACAAUGGGCGCAAGUCUGAUGCAGCCAUGCCGCGUGUAUGAAGAAGGCCUUAGGGUUGUAAAGUACUUUCGGCGGAGAAGCGUUACCCACAGAAAAAGCACCGGCUAACUCCGUGCCAGCAGCCGCGGUAAUUC
rnacentral:rRNA from 1 species